CCUACGGGUGGCAGCAGUAGGGAAUCUUCCACAAUGGGCGAAAGUCUGAUGGAGCGACGCCGCGUGAGUGAAGAAGGAUUUCGGCUCGUAAAGCUCUGUUGGUAGGGAAGAAAGAUAGGGGUAGUAACUGGCCUUUAUUUGACGGUAAUUACUUAGAAAGUGACGGCUAACUACGUGCCAGCAGCCGCGGUAAUACGGAGGUGGCAAGCGUUGUCCGGAUUUAUUGGGCGUAAAGGGAGUGCAGGCGGUUUAAUAAGUCUGAUGUGAAAGCCUUCGGCUCAACCGGAGAAUUGCAUCAGAAACUGGUGAACUUGAGUGCAGAAGAGGUGAGUGGAACUCGAGGUGUAGCGGUGGAAUGCGUAGAUAUAUGGAAGAACACCAGUGGCGAAGGCGGUUCUCUGGUCUGCAACUGACGCUGAGGCUCGAAAGCAUGGGUAGCGAACAGGAUUAGAUACCCUAGUAGUC
rnacentral:rRNA from 1 species